AUCCAGCUGACGAGUCCCAAACAGGACGAAACGCCCGUCAAGCUAGAU
rfam:Schistosoma mattheei strain Denwood, Zambia genome assembly, scaffold: SMTD_scaffold0015897